CAAGCUACACAGAGUACGAGGUGGAUGCCUUGGCGCUAAAGACCGAAGAAGGACGCGGAGACCGGCGAAACGUUCGGGGGGAGCUGCAUACAAGCGAUGAACCCCGAGAAUCCGAAUGAGGCAACUCCUCCAGAGUGAUGUCUGGAGACCGCCUGCUGAACACAUAGGCAGUGACGGGGGGCAGUGGGUGAACUGAAACAUCUCAGUAACUCGACGAACAGAAAUCAACCGAGAUUCCCGUAGUAGUGGCGAGCGAACCGGGAGGAGCCCAAACCAAUCAUCCUUCGGGACGAUUGGGGUUGUAGGACUGACAGCAAGCACCGAUGAACUACUUGAACACGUUGGAAAGCGUGACCAGAGCGAGUGAGAGUCUCGUAGAGGACGGUUUAUUGGUGUGGGUCAGGAUCCUGAGUACCACGAGACACGUGCAAUCUUGUGGGAAGCUGGGGGGACCACCCUCCAAGGCUACACAUCUUUAGCGACCGAUAGCGAACAAGUACCGUGAGGGAAAGGUGAAAAGCACCCCGAGAGGGGGAUGAAAGAGACCCUGAAACCACGUACUCACCAGCAGUCAGAGGCCACUGUCCCGUCGCGGGACCAAGGGCUGAUGGCGUGCCUUUUGUAGAAUGAUCCGGCGAGUGCAUCGUCGUAGCCUGGUUAACCAGCGCUAAAGCUGGGGAGCCCCAGGGCAACCGAGUCUGAAGAGGGCGAAAUGUUGCGGCGAUGCGACCCGAAACCGUGUGAGCUAUCCAUGAGCAGAGUGAAGCGGAUGUGACAGUCCGUCGAGGCUCGCACCCACCAGUGUUGCAAAACUGGGGGAUGACUUGUGGAUAGGGGAGAAAUUCCAAUCGAACACGGAGAUAGCUGGUUCUCCCCGAAAUGUAUUGAGGUACAGCUGUAUGUUGUACUAUCCUGGAGGUAGAGCUCUGAAUGGGCUAGGGGCCUCGUGCAGGUUACCAAACCCAAGCAAACUGCGAAUGCCAGGACAGCAUGCAUGCAAGUGAGACGGCGGGGGCUAAGCUUCGUCGUCAAAAGGGAAACAGCCCAGACCAUCGGCUAAGGUCUCCAAAUCCAUGCUUAGUGUCAAAGGGGGUCACAACGCCCAAACAGCCAGGAUGUUGGCUUAGAAGCAGCCACCAUUUAAAGAGUGCGUAAUAGCUCACUGGUCGAGUGUCGUGGCACCGACAACGUAUCGAGGCUCAAGUAUGGUACCGAAGCCAUGGAACCUGGUGAACAACCAGGUUGGUAGGGGAGCAUUCUGUUGGGCAGAGAAGCCAGACCGCGAGGACUGGUGGAGCGAACAGAAGUGAGAAUGCCGGAAUGAGUAGCGUCAUGUCUGUGAUAACCAGACACACCGAAUGCCUGAGGGUUCCUGGGCACCGUCAAUCGUCCCAGGGUGAGUCGGGUCCUAAGCCGAGGACGUCACAGUCGUAGGCGAUGGAAAGCAGGUCAGAGAUUCCUGCACCGGAGAUGCUCGUUAGGAGCAAUGGGGGGACGCGGUAAGGAAGGUGAGCCCAUCGAUUGGACAGGAUGGGUCUGUGCGCUGAAGUGCGAAGCCGAGGCAAAUCCCGGUUUCCUGUGCAUGACACGUGCAGCGAGCGGACGACAAGUCCGCGGAAGUCAUCGGCCCCUAGGCCGCCAAGAAAAGCCUCUCGCCAGAGUUGUCUCCGCCCGUACCGCACACCGACACAGGUAGGCAGGGGGAACACUCCCCAGGUGAUCGAGCGACCCUCUGUUAAGGAACUCGGCAAAUUGACCCCGUACCUUCGGAAGAAGGGGUGCCCUAGUAGCUUUCAGGCUUGCCUGGGGGUGAGGGGGUUGCAAGAAAUUGGCUCAACCGACUGUUUACCAAAAACACAGGUCUCUGCGAACGCGCAAGCGGAAGUAUAGGGGCUGACUCCUGCCCAGUGCCGGAAGGUUACGAGGAGCGGUGUGCGUAGCUGCGAAUCUAAGCCCCGGUGAACGGCGGCCGUAACUAUAACGGUCCUAAGGUAGCGAAAUUCCUUGUCGGGUAAGUUCCGACCCGCACGAAAGGAGUAACGAGUUGAGCACUGUCUCGACAGAGGACUCGGCGAAAUUGAAGUACCCGUGAAGAUACGGGUUACCCACGACAGGACAAAAAGACCCCGUGGAGCUUUACUACACCUUGACCCGGAAACGAGGCAGAGCGUGCGUAGCAUAGGUGGGAGUCGGAGAACCUAUCCUUGUGGGGGUAGGGGAGACAGCAGUGAAAUACCACUCUCGGUGUGUUUUGUUUCUCACACGUCACCGUGAGCCGGGACGUGGACAGGAUCAGGCGGGUAGUUUGACUGGGGCGGUCGCCUCCCAAAGAGUAACGGAGGCGCCCAAAGGUUCCCUCAGGGUGGAUGGACAUCACCCAUGAGAGUGUAAAGGCACAAGGGAGCUUGACUGCAAGACGGACAGGUCGAGCAGGGACGAAAGUCGGGCUUAGUGAUCCCACAUUCCCGAGUGGAAGGAGUGUGGCUCAACGGAUAAAAGCUACCCCGGGGAUAACAGGCUUAUCUUGCCCAAGAGUUCACAUCGACGGCAAGGUUUGGCACCUCGAUGUCGGCUCGUCGCAUCCUGGGGCUGGAGUAGGUCCCAAGGGUUGGGCUGUUCGCCCAUGAAAGCGGCACGCGAGCUGGGUUCAGAACGUCGCGAGACAGUUCGGUCUCUAUCCGUCGUGGGCAUAGGAGAAUUGAGGGGCGUCAUCUCCAGUACGAGAGGACCGAGAUGGCUCGACCGCUGGUGUGCCAGUUGGCCUGCCCGGGCCAGAGCUGGAUAGCUAUGUCGAGAAGGGAUAAGCGCUGAAAGCAUCUAAGCGCGAAGCCGCACCCAAGACGAGUUCUCCCAUUCUCUGCGGAGAAUCAAGAUCCCAGGAAGACGACCUGGUAAAUAGACGACACGUGGACACCUGGUAACAGGCGGAGCGAAGUCGCCCUAAUGAUCGUACGGCUUGUUU
rnacentral:rRNA from 1 species